UACGGAGGGUGCGAGCGUUGUCCGGAAUCAUUGGGCGUAAAGGGCGCGUAGGUGGCCCGGUGAGUCUUUGGUGAAAGCGCGGGGCUCAACCCUGCGUCGGCCAGGGAUACUGCCGCGGCUCGAGCACUGUAGAGGCAGGCGGAAUUCCGGGUGUAGCGGUGAAAUGCGCAGAUAUCGGGAGGAACACCGGUGGCGAAGGCGGUUCUCUGGGCCUGUACUGACGCUGAGGAGCGAAAGCGUGGGGAGCGAACAGG
rnacentral:rRNA from 1 species